rnacentral:rRNA from 1 species
GACGGAGGGUGCUAGCGUUGUCCGGAAUUAUUGGGCGUAAAGAGCUCGUAGGCGGUUUGUCGCGUCGGCUGUGAAAACUCGGGGCUCAACCCCGAGCCUGCAGUCGAUACGGGCAAACUUGAGUGUGGUAGGGGAGACUGGAAUUCCUGGUGUAGCGGUGAAAUGCGCAGAUAUCAGGAGGAACACCGGCGGCGAAGGCGGGUCUCUGGGCCAUAACUGACGCUGAGGAGCGAAAGCGUGGGGAGCGAACAGG